rnacentral:rRNA from 2 species
UAUGAGAGUUUGAUCCUGGCUCAGGACGAACGCUGGCGGCGUGCCUAAUACAUGCAAGUCGUACGCUUCUUUUUCCACCGGAGCUUGCUCCACCGGAAAAAGAAGAGUGGCGAACGGGUGAGUAACACGUGGGUAACCUGCCCAUCAGAAGGGGAUAACACUUGGAAACAGGUGCUAAUACCGUAUAACAAUCGAAACCGCAUGGUUUUGAUUUGAAAGGCGCUUUCGGGUGUCGCUGAUGGAUGGACCCGCGGUGCAUUAGCUAGUUGGUGAGGUAACGGCUCACCAAGGCUACGAUGCAUAGCCGACCUGAGAGGGUGAUCGGCCACAUUGGGACUGAGACACGGCCCAAACUCCUACGGGAGGCAGCAGUAGGGAAUCUUCGGCAAUGGACGAAAGUCUGACCGAGCAACGCCGCGUGAGUGAAGAAGGUUUUCGGAUCGUAAAACUCUGUUGUUAGAGAAGAACAAGGAUGAGAGUAACUGUUCAUCCCUUGACGGUAUCUAACCAGAAAGCCACGGCUAACUACGUGCCAGCAGCCGCGGUAAUACGUAGGUGGCAAGCGUUGUCCGGAUUUAUUGGGCGUAAAGCGAGCGCAGGCGGUUUCUUAAGUCUGAUGUGAAAGCCCCCGGCUCAACCGGGGAGGGUCAUUGGAAACUGGGAGACUUGAGUGCAGAAGAGGAGAGUGGAAUUCCAUGUGUAGCGGUGAAAUGCGUAGAUAUAUGGAGGAACACCAGUGGCGAAGGCGGCUCUCUGGUCUGUAACUGACGCUGAGGCUCGAAAGCGUGGGGAGCAAACAGGAUUAGAUACCCUGGUAGUCCACGCCGUAAACGAUGAGUGCUAAGUGUUGGAGGGUUUCCGCCCUUCAGUGCUGCAGCUAACGCAUUAAGCACUCCGCCUGGGGAGUACGACCGCAAGGUUGAAACUCAAAGGAAUUGACGGGGGCCCGCACAAGCGGUGGAGCAUGUGGUUUAAUUCGAAGCAACGCGAAGAACCUUACCAGGUCUUGACAUCCUUUGACCACUCUAGAGAUAGAGCUUCCCCUUCGGGGGCAAAGUGACAGGUGGUGCAUGGUUGUCGUCAGCUCGUGUCGUGAGAUGUUGGGUUAAGUCCCGCAACGAGCGCAACCCUUAUUGUUAGUUGCCAUCAUUCAGUUGGGCACUCUAGCAAGACUGCCGGUGACAAACCGGAGGAAGGUGGGGAUGACGUCAAAUCAUCAUGCCCCUUAUGACCUGGGCUACACACGUGCUACAAUGGGAAGUACAACGAGUCGCGAAGUCGCGAGGCUAAGCUAAUCUCUUAAAGCUUCUCUCAGUUCGGAUUGUAGGCUGCAACUCGCCUACAUGAAGCCGGAAUCGCUAGUAAUCGCGGAUCAGCACGCCGCGGUGAAUACGUUCCCGGGCCUUGUACACACCGCCCGUCACACCACGAGAGUUUGUAACACCCGAAGUCGGUGAGGUAACCUUUUGGAGCCAGCCGCCUAAGGUGGGAUAGAUGAUUGGGGUGAAGUCGUAACAAGGUAGCCGUAUCGGAAGGUGCGGCUGGAUCACCUCCUUUCUAAGGAA